rnacentral:rRNA from 1 species
GACGAACGCUGGCGGCGUGCUUAACACAUGCAAGUCGAACGGAAAGGCCCUGCUUUUGUGGGGUGCUCGAGUGGCGAACGGGUGAGUAACACGUGAGUAACCUGCCCUUGACUUUGGGAUAACUUCAGGAAACUGGGGCUAAUACCGGAUAGGAGCUCCUGCUGCAUGGUGGGGGUUGGAAAGUUUCGGCGGUUGGGGAUGGACUCGCGGCUUAUCAGCUUGUUGGUGGGUAGUGGCUUACCAAGGCUUUGACGGGUAGCCGGCCUGAGAGGGUGACCGGCCACCUUGGGACUGAGAUACGGCCCAGACUCCUACGGGAGGCAGCAGUGGGGAAUAUUGCACAAUGGGCGGAAGCCUGAUGCAGCAACGCCGCGUGCGGGAUGACGGCCUUCGGGUUGUAAACCGCUUUCGCCUGUGACGAAGCGUGAGUGACGGUAAUGGGUAAAGAAGCACCGGCUAACUACGUG